rnacentral:pre_miRNA from 10 species
AUACACAUACACAUAUAUGUGUAUGUGUGUGUGUGUGUGUGUAUACACAUACACAUAUAUGUGUCUGUGUAUG